AAUACCGUGAGGUAUUGUGGGGAGGAAGCUGCUAGUAAAGCUAUGAGCCGAUGGGCAGAAACAUCAUACAAGGCUUAGCCUGGAGGCGAGGUGGCCAAGGGCACCGAAGCGGGUUGAUCUAACAGGUAGAGUCAAUGAUGCAGUUGUGUAGUGAAAGUUCACCUU
rnacentral:ncRNA from 1 species